rnacentral:rRNA from 1 species
GAUGAACGCUGGCGGCGUGCCUAAUACAUGCAAGUCGAGCGAACAGACGAGGAGCUUGCUCCUCUGACGUUAGCGGCGGACGGGUGAGUAACACGUGGAUAACCUACCUAUAAGACUGGGAUAACUUCGGGAAACCGGAGCUAAUACCGGAUAACAUGUUGAACCGCAUGGUUCAACAGUGAAAGACGGUCUUGCUGUCACUUAUAGAUGGAUCCGCGCCGCAUUAGCUAGUUGGUAAGGUAACGGCUUACCAAGGCAACGAUGCGUAGCCGACCUGAGAGGGGGAUCGGCCACACGGGAACUGGGACACGGUCCAGACCCUACGGGAGGCAGCAGUAGGGAAUCUUCCGCAAUGGGCGAAAGCCUGACGGAGCAACGCCGCGUGAGUGAAGAAGGUCUUCGGAUCGUAAAACUCUGUUAUUAGGGAAGAACAAAUGUGUAAGUAACUAUGCACGUCUUGACGGUACCUAAUCAGAAAGCCACGGCUAACUACGUG